CUACGGGGUGCACCAGUGGGGAAUAUUGCACAAUGGGCGCAAGCCUGAUGCAGCCAUGCCGCGUGUAUGAAGAAGGCCUUCGGGUUGUAAAGUACUUUCAGCGGGGAGGAAGGGAGUAAAGUUAAUACCUUUGCUCAUUGACGUUACCCGCAGAAGAAGCACCGGCUAACUCCGUGCCAGCAGCCGCGGUAAUACGGAGGGUGCAAGCGUUAAUCGGAAUUACUGGGCGUAAAGCGCACGCAGGCGGUUUGUUAAGUCAGAUGUGAAAUCCCCGGGCUCAACCUGGGAACUGCAUCUGAUACUGGCAAGCUUGAGUCUCGUAGAGGGGGGUAGAAUUCCAGGUGUAGCGGUGAAAUGCGUAGAGAUCUGGAGGAAUACCGGUGGCGAAGGCAGCCCCCUGGACGAAGACUGACGCUCAGGUGCGAAAGCGUGGGGAGCAAACAGGAUUAGAUACCCGGGUAGUC
rnacentral:rRNA from 1 species